rnacentral:lncRNA from 1 species
CUGUCAGGGUGGAUGUCGGGGGUCUCUCUAUGUAACCCAGGCUGGCCUGGAACUUGCAGCAAUCCUCCUGCCUCGGCUGCCCAAGUGCUAGGAUCACAGGUGUCUGCUGCCAUAUCUGGCUGUGAUGUUGAGUUUCAUCCUCACAAUAAUCCUAUAAGGUGGGCACUGCUCCUACCACCCCCCAUUUUCUGGAUGGAGAAACCGAGGACCAGAGAAAUUAACUCGCCCAAGUCACACUGCUGGCAAACCCUGGAGCAGGGCUAUGAAGCUGGACCCUUCUGACCGCUCUGGGGGUUCCAAAGGCUCCAGGGGGCCUUCAAACAUUGGGGCGGCAGCUGGGUGUGGUGGUAAUCACCUGUAGUCUUAGCCCUUGGGAGACUGAGGCAGGAGGAUCUCCUCAACUUCAAGGCCAGCCUGGGUUACACAGUGAGUCCAAGACCAGCUUGAAUUACAUAACAAAACCCUGUCUCAACAAAACAAAACAAAACAAAACAAAAGUAGAUAAGUAAUAAAUACCUAAACAAACACUAGCAGUGUUGCUGGGUGAUUCUGCAUGUGCGGUGGAGAUGCUGACCACCGAGGGUCCCUUCCUCCAGCUCCCCAGGUUCCU